CUUUUUGCUGAAGACACAGAAGCAAAGAACCCAUUUUCUACUCAGGACACAGAUUUAGACUUGGAGAUGUUAGCUCCCUAUAUCCCAAUGGAUGAUGACUUCCAGUUACGUUCCUUCGAUCAGUUGUCACCAUUAGAAAGCAGUUCCGCAAGCCCUGAAAGCGCAAGUCCUCAAAGCACAGUUACAGUAUUCCAGCAGACUCAAAUACAAGAACCUACUGCUAAUGCCACCACUACCACUGCCACCACUGAUGAAUUAAAAACAGUGACAAAAGACCGUAUGGAAGACAUUAAAAUAUUGAUUGCAUCUCCAUCUCCUACCCACAUACAUAAAGAAACUACUAGUGCCACAUCAUCACCAUAUAGAGAUACUCAAAGUCGGACAGCCUCACCAAACAGAGCAGGAAAAGGAGUCAUAGAACAGACAGAAAAAUCUCAUCCAAGAAGCCCUAACGUGUUAUCUGUCGCUUUGAGUCAAAGAACUACAGUUCCUGAGGAAGAACUAAAUCCAAAGAUACUAGCUUUGCAGAAUGCUCAGAGAAAGCGAAAAAUGGAACAUGAUGGUUCACUUUUUCAAGCAGUAGGAAUUGGAACAUUAUUACAGCAGCCAGACGAUCAUGCAGCUACUACAUCACUUUCUUGGAAACGUGUAAAAGGAUGCAAAUCUAGUGAACAGAAUGGAAUGGAGCAAAAGACAAUUAUUUUAAUACCCUCUGAUUUAGCAUGUAGACUGCUGGGGCAAUCAAUGGAUGAAAGUGGAUUACCACAGCUGACCAGUUAUGAUUGUGAAGUUAAUGCUCCUAUACAAGGCAGCAGAAACCUACUGCAGGGUGAAGAAUUACUCAGAGCUUUGGAUCAAGUUAACUGAGCUUUUUCUUAAUUUCAUUCCUUUUUUUGGACACUGGUGGCUCAUUACCUAAAGCAGUCUAUUUAUAUUUUCUACAUCUAAUUUUAGAAGCCUGGCUACAAUACUGCACAAACUUGGUUAGUUCAAUUUUGAUCCCCUUUCUACUUAAUUUACAUUAAUGCUCUUUUUUAGUAUGUUCUUUAAUGCUGGAUCACAGACAGCUCAUUUUCUCAGUUUUUUGGUAUUUAAACCAUUGCAUUGCAGUAGCAUCAUUUUAAAAAAUGCACCUUUUUAUUUAUUUAUUUUUGGCUAGGGAGUUUAUCCCUUUUUCGAAUUAUUUUUAAGAAGAUGCCAAUAUAAUUUUUGUAAGAAGGCAGUAACCUUUCAUCAUGAUCAUAGGCAGUUGAAAAAUUUUUACACCUUUUUUUUCACAUUUUACAUAAAUAAUAAUGCUUUGCCAGCAGUACGUGGUAGCCACAAUUGCACAAUAUAUUUUCUUAAAAAAUACCAGCAGUUACUCAUGGAAUAUAUUCUGCGUUUAUAAAACUAGUUUUUAAGAAGAAAUUUUUUUUGGCCUAUGAAAUUGUUAAACCUGGAACAUGACAUUGUUAAUCAUAUAAUAAUGAUUCUUAAAUGCUGUAUGGUUUAUUAUUUAAAUGGGUAAAGCCAUUUACAUAAUAUAGAAAGAUAUGCAUAUAUCUAGAAGGUAUGUGGCAUUUAUUUGGAUAAAAUUCUCAAUUCAGAGAAAUCAUCUGAUGUUUCUAUAGUCACUUUGCCAGCUCAAAAGAAAACAAUACCCUAUGUAGUUGUGGAAGUUUAUGCUAAUAUUGUGUAACUGAUAUUAAACCUAAAUGUUCUGCCUACCCUGUUGGUAUAAAGAUAUUUUGAGCAGACUGUAAAC
rnacentral:lncRNA from 1 species